UUUGGUAACCAUACGUAGCAGUAAUUUUAGGUGGCGCUUUCCUAAUAUAUUUGUAGCCGUGCAUAUUUCUGUUGAUAGAGAGAGAAUUCUGAUUUGUCUUGAUUGAAACAGACUACUAUUCACAUAUAUCACUAACGAUGGUUCCAGCAACUGCAGAAUCAAUCAAGCCUAGAGGAUAACUUUGCAGUUCAAAGUUUUGAACGCGGUAUUGCUGCACAGGAAGCUGGUGCUUUUACAUGGGAAAUUGUGCCGGUUGAGGUGCCCGGUGGAAGAGGAAAACCAUCCACCAUUGUUGAUAAGGAUGAAGGUUUAGGGAAGUUUGAUGGUGCAAAAUUGAGGAAACUCCGACCAAGUUUCAAGGAAAAAGAUGGUACUGUGACUGCUGGUAACGCUUCUA